AAAGGGCAGCACAGACUCCCUCGAGCCACACACUCCAACAGGUCAAGAUCACAUAGAUAAGGGCUUCAGACACUAAGACAAGUGGAUAUGAACAGGAACAUCCUCCCUGAGAUUUUAGGAGUGCGUUUACGAAGCAACAGCGUUAAGGAAGCAGCUGCAGGAAGACACUGUGCAGUGCCUGGCAGGUCUGGCAGCAUCUCUGAUGUGCAGAUACAGAAAAAUCAUCUUAACUGCAAAGAUCCUAAGUUUAAAUAACAUGGCAUAGCUGCACUUCUCCUCAUUGUCAGUCCUGAGCAGAAGCAGAAUGUGAUCUACCUACCAGAGACAGAAAGACUGUCUUCACCAGGACAGCAGGGCUUGGUUGGAUAUUUCACUUUCAUUUACAUCCCAGCACCCACGAGGAGGGAUAACAUUAAAGUCAAACCUUCAAGGAUGUGCUCUAACCUACAAAAUCUCACUAAGCUCAGUGCUUCUGCUACAGUAAGUACCAUUGGUACAAAAAUAUGAUCACAGCCACGCCGGCUGAAAGUAAAGAUUCCUCCUAACAACCCUUGAAGUGCUGUAAAUGCUUCCAAAGGUUACAACAAACAAUAUCUUUGCAGUGAAUUCUGGAAUGAGUUUGAAUUGAAGGUGACAAGUGUGCACUUCCAAAACGCAGACCUUGUCCCCUACUUCCCUGCCAACAGCCUCGGAGAUCAUGGACUAGAGGAAGGUUAUUGAAUAUCCACAAAAGGGAAAGACACCUUAAAGCCCUAUACAAGUAAUGGGCAAGUCCUGGAGUGCUGUAUGCCACUUCUCUUUCAUAAAA